rnacentral:rRNA from 1 species
UGAGUAACGCGUGGGAACGUACCUUUUGGUUCGGAACAACACAGGGAAACUUGUGCUAAUACCGGAUAAGCCCUUACGGGGAAAGAUUAUCGGCGAAAGAUCGGCCCGCAUCUGAUUAGCUAGUUGGUAGGGUAACGGCCUACCAAGGCGACGAUCAGUAGCUGGUCUGAGAGGAUGAUCAGCCACAUUGGGACUGAGACACGGCCCAAACUCCUACGGGAGGCAGCAGUGGGGAAUAUUGGACAAUGGGGGCAACCCUGAUCCAGCCAUGCCGCGUGAGUGAUGAAGGCCCUAGGGUUGUAAAGCUCUUUUGUGCGGGAAGAUAAUGACGGUACCGCAAGAAUAAGCCCCGGCUAACUUCGUGCCAGCAGCCGCGGUAAUACGACGGGGGCUAGCGUUGCUCGGAAUCACUGGGCGUAAAGGGUGCGUACGCGGGUC